UGCAGUCGAGCGGAUCUUCAUUAGCUUGCUUUUGAAGAUCAGCGGCGGACGGGUGAGUAACACGUGGGCAACCUGCCUGUAAGACUGGGAUAACUUCGGGAAACCGGAGCUAAUACCGGAUAAUCCUUUCCCUCACAUGAGGGAAAGCUGAAAGACGGUUUCGGCUGUCACUUACAGAUGGGCCCGCGGCGCAUUAGCUAGUUGGUGAGGUAACGGCUCACCAAGGCAACGAUGCGUAGCCGACCUGAGAGGGUGAUCGGCCACACUGGGACUGAGACACGGCCCAGACUCCUACGGGAGGCAGCAGUAGGGAAUCUUCCGCAAUGGACGAAAGUCUGACGGAGCAACGCCGCGUGAGCGAUGAAGGCCUUCGGGUCGUAAAGCUCUGUUGUCAGGGAAGAACAAGUACCGGAGUAACUGCCGGUACCUUGACGGUACCUGACCAGAAAGCCACGGCUAACUACGUGCCAGCAGCCGCGGUAAUACGUAGGUGGCAAGCGUUGUCCGGAAUUAUUGGGCGUAAAGCGCGCGCAGGCGGUUCCUUAAGUCUGAUGUGAAAGCCCCCGGCUCAACCGGGGAGGGUCAUUGGAAACUGGGGAACUUGAGUGCAGAAGAGGAGAGCGGAAUUCCACGUGUAGCGGUGAAAUGCGUAGAGAUGUGGAGGAACACCAGUGGCGAAGGCGGCUCUCUGGUCUGUAACUGACGCUGAGGCGCGAAAGCGUGGGGAGCGAACAGGAUUAGAUACCCUGGUAGUCCACGCCGUAAACGAUGAGUGCUAAGUGUUAGAGGGUUUCCGCCCUUUAGUGCUGCAGCAAACGCAUUAAGCACUCCGCCUGGGGAGUACGGCCGCAAGGCUGAAACUCAAAGGAAUUGACGGGGGCCCGCACAAGCGGUGGAGCAUGUGGUUUAAUUUCGAAGCAACGCGAAGAACCUUAC
rnacentral:rRNA from 2 species